rnacentral:lncRNA from 1 species
CGGCUGCAAAGCGGGAACAAUCAUUUACAGGGUUGCUGUGGAGACCAAAGGCAGCUCAGCUUUGUUCAAAGUACAGAAGGGAAAGGAAGUGACUUAUUUACGCCCUUCUCUGUACUGGGUACUUUGCAUGCCUCUGAUCCUCAGAGUAAAUUCAUAAGGAUGCAACUUGGUGAACACUUCUUCCAUGAAACCUUCCUUCUCCCUGAAGGAGUGAAGUAUGGGCCAUCCCAAAAUAUGCUGGAUUGGUAUAUUGACCAUUUUGAGUGGACAACAUUGGAAAAAUAGUGGCCUCAGAAAGGGCUAACUGGGCCAGGUGCAGUGGCUCAUACCUGUAAUCCUAGCACUUUGGGAGGCUGAAGGGGGAGGGUUGCUUGAGCCCAAGAGUUUGAGGUUACAGUGAGAUAUGAUCACACUACUACACCCCAGCCUGGGUGACAGAGUGAGACCUCAACUCUAAAAUAAAUAAAUAAAUAAAUAAA